CGGUUUCUUCAGUUACGGCAAAUGAUGAGACACUUUAAAUAAAUCAAAUAUCACACUACCAGAAACUAAAAUUAAACAAACCAUAUGAACGACAACAAUCACGGAAUCACCAUCAAAAGAGAAUUGCAUAAACAGAUUUUUCGACGGAAGUAAUAUUUUCCAGAAAAAAAACUCAGCUCAGCUUAACCAUAAACGCUGGACUUUCUACUAAUCCCAAAAAGGAUCCAUGAAAUCUAUAUAUAUAAAGAUAGUUUUUCUCUCUUCUGGUGCUGCCACCUCAGCAGCCACCUCAGCAGCCAUCUGUGCAAUUAUUUUUUUAAAAACUUUUAGUUUGUCCGGUUUCUUUAGUUACGGCAAAUGAUGAGACACUUUAAAUAAAUCAAAUAUCACACUACCAGAAAAUAAAAUUAAACAAACCAUAUGAACGACAACAAUCACGGAAUCACCAUCAAAAGAGAAUUGCAUAAACAGAUUUUUCGACGGAAGUAAUAUUUUCCAGAAAAAAAACUCAGCUCAGCUUAACCAUAAACGCUGGACUUUCUACCAAUCCCAAAAAGGAUCCAUGAAAUCCACGCCAAAUUGGAGUCACCAACGGCACACCCAAAAAACCAAUUCCAAAGCUGAGAAACUGAUCAGCUCCCCAAUAUGAUGACGAAUAGAGGUAUAUCUAAGAAAUCAUGGGAAGGGGUUAGACCGGCACCGAUUCUGGAAAAAAGCACUGCAAGAGUGGACAAUACCGAAAUAAACGUCACUGAAUCACCCAAGGAAGAAAGAGAAGGAGGAUGAAAAAAAUGACUCAAUUAGAGACCAAAGGAAUGGGUAUGAACAAAAGGUUGGUCCGACCAAAAUUUCAAUCACCCUCUUUCAAUUGAAGCACCCUCUAUCAACAAUAGAAGAGUUUUGCCAACAUUUGAGAGAGCUAUCGAUUAAUACCUACAAUUAUGAAGGGCUAGAAACGGACACAGCUUUGUAUAAUCAAAAUGAGAUUUCAUAAACAUCGAACGAACAAAUAAAUAUAGCUGGAAAAUGAGCCAAUAUAAAAUAAUACAAAAAAUUACAGACUAAAAAAACUUUCAUACUAACCAUCCAAACCCGAUUUCAAUAUAGACAUUUUGUACUUCUUUUGACUCAAGGCCUUAUACAAAAUAUACUAACGGAGAAAGUGCUUUCACAAUUACAAAUUAAAAAAACGAAAAAAACAAAUACUUCAUAAACAAAAAUAAAUUAACAAGAAUAAAU
rnacentral:lncRNA from 1 species